rnacentral:rRNA from 1 species
UACGUAGGGUGCGAGCGUUAAUCGGAAUUACUGGGCGUAAAGCGUGCGCAGGCGGUUCGUUGUGUCGGCGGUGAAAUCCCCGGGCUCAACCUGGGAAUGGCCGUUGAAACUGGCGAACUGGAGUGUGGCAGAGGGGGGUGGAAUUCCGCGUGUAGCAGUGAAAUGCGUAGAGAUGCGGAGGAACACCGAUGGCGAAGGCAGCCCCCUGGGCUGACACUGGCGCUCAGGCACGAAAGCGUGGGGAGCAAACAGG